CUCAUUAUUUCUCCUAGGUAUAUGGUAUUCAUGAUUUUUGGAGAAAUUCAAUAAUAGCAUACUUUGGAAAGUUGGAGAGAAUAUAAUAAAUAAAACACAGACCUUCUUAUUGCAUGACCAAGCUGCCAAAAAAGAAAAUCAGACAAUUCUUCCAAGACUGGAAACAAAAGAAAAUUGGGAAUACACAAGAUGGCUGGAUUGGAGUAAAGCAGCGCAGGAAACUGAUGUGAGCCCAGAACAGAACUGGGAGAGGGAGAGAGAAACAGAUGCAGAGAGAAAGAGAAGAAUGAGGCAAAUGAAAGGAAGGCCCAGAGGGACUGCACUUCAAAGAGCACCUCUAGGAUAGCGUUCAUGCACAUAUCUCUUGCCUCUGGAUAAAACGAAGUAGAGAAAGGAAACCUUCAGCCAAAGACCCCAUAGACAAAUAACUGUUAUCAAACUGGGAGAAAAUUAGCACAUAUCACAUAAAAGGUUGAAUAUAUGAGAAUUGUCUAUAAUUUUAUAAAAUAACCUAUUGGAAAAAAUAGCAAGGAUGUGGAUAUGUAAUUUAUAGGAGAUAAAAUGGAAAUGACCAAUAAGUAUAUUGUUAAAUGUACAGCUCCACUAACAAUCAAGAAAGUACAAAUUAAAUAAAGCUUUUAUUUUUCAACUCUUAGACUAGGAAAUAUUUCAAAACUAAGUAACUUUAUACACUGAUUAGGUCAUAGGGAAAAGGUAACUCUCCGCUCUAAAACAAUGCUUAAGACUUAACUUUGAAUUGCUUUAUUUGUAGGGCACCUUGAUGAACAUUUUAGAGUUACAUGUAUCUUUUAAGCCAAUAAUCCCACUUGUUGGUAUCUACCCAAGAGAAACACAGCUGCCUAUGUGAGUGGCAUGUAUGAAACUGUUCCCUGGGGUGCUUUAUGAAAUAGAAAAACGUCCUGAAUUUCCACUAAUAAGGUAAUAAAUGGAAUCUUCAUAAUCUAUGUUAUGGAAUAUUAUGCAACAAGUUUUAAAGAUAAUAAAUCCAUCUUUAUAUUGGUGAAAAAUACCUGAAAGCUUCUCGCUAAUAAAAGCCACUCACAAAAGCUGAAAAUAUGAACUGCAAGAAACUAUAGUCAUUCCCUUUACAAAAAAAGAUACUGAGGACCAGAGGGAUUAGGGAUUUUUCCCAGGGUCACUCAGUUGGUAGUGACUUUUACAUUCUUAGGUGCACAGAGGCUCCAAGAAAACUAUAAAUGUCCACAGUAGCCUCUGGGAGACUGGGAGCAACUCAGAUGCUCCUUGUUGGAGGAAGUGAUUCAAGGCUCCUACCUAUCUUGUACUAAUUGAACGAACUAGACGAGUGAUUUCUGAACAGAGAUGUUUCAGUUCAGAGACUUCCACAUAGAAUUUAUCAUUUUUCUUGUAUCUUUAUGACCUCUAGCUGUUUAAGUUCUACUUUCAAUUGGGGUUGUAAAAGUAGUAUCCUUAUGAACAAAGAAGAACUUAACUCUUAAAGUGUAGAGAUUUUUAAGGUUAAAAAGCCAUAAAAUGUGGACAUUUAGAACUCACACUAUUCUAGUCAAAUAUUUAAUAAAAAUCUGUAACAAUCAUGAGUGAGGUGUCCUAUUUCCAAGAAGUACCUACUUGUAGGAAAGAUGAAGGAAGUAUAAGACACUGAUCUUUCUAAGAUAUUUACUGAAUUUUCUGGGUUGUCCUGGGAUUUCAUUAUUAUUGUAUUUGUCCAAAAU
ensembl:lincRNA